AAGCCUUUGGACCGGCCCUGAGGAGCACUGGAUGAAGUCACCAGCAUGUAGACGGACAGCAGGGGAGAGAGACAGAGACCAAGCAGGGGCACACAGACUUCUGAGCAGACAGAUGUCUCCACAGGACAAAUGUGAAAUAAUCUACCGUAUCAGAGGGAACGGUAACCUGUGGCCGGAUAGAAGCCGAUCUUUGGAACAAGUUUGGUCCAUCAGACACUAAGAUUUGGCCGCCCAUCUGUGGCUUGCUAAUUGUUUAUCUACUUCCUUCUAGAAUGUGCUGCCCGCGAGCACAAGCCUCUUGCCUCCCUUUACCGCUGGCCCCCUCCGCACCAGAAUGGUGCCAACACUCAGAAAAUAUUGGACAUAGUCCAGCAAUUUUCCAGAAGGGCCGAGCGCCGCUGCAGACGGGUGAUUUCCCCAUGACUCAGCCCGACAGCGUUUCCUGUAGCGAGCGGAGCUGGCAGGAGCACAUGAUCAGCGUCAGUGCAUUGCCCCUCGGAGAUGAACUCACCCUUCUGUGAAUUCUGUUCUGGCCCGUCUGCUGGAUGCCUUCAAGCAUCUCCUUCCAGUGAGCGCUGUGUUAAGCUUUCUCAGCAGAGGGCGCCGGAGGGACACGGAGAAGGAAGCGGCUUUCUGCUGCUUGCAGUGUCCAAGUGGUCCUGGCACUGUGAGGAGGCUGCCACCCCCGGGGCAGGGACCCGUGCCCCUGGGGGUGACCUACAGCUUACCCAGCAGCUCCGGCGGCUCUGGCCUGGGCACACCAGCAAACUUCCUGCUGCCCAGUGGCUGAACCGCACCUUCUCCCGCCAGAUCUGAACUCCCGCGUCCGCCCUUCUGUGGUGUUUCCUUGUGACUUACUCUCUUACCAUGGGCCACUGUUCUUUAUAUUAAAUUCGCCCUGUUUUGCCCA